CCGCACGCGCGUUUUUUAAUUGCCAGGGGAUAUUUUCAACACCGCGGCUGCUGUGGUCAAGGAAAACAAUGCACAUCUAGUUUUCCCCAACAUUACUCAGCUGCUGAAGACAUAUGGCACAGCUCCGGUGUCCACAGCAACUGUUGAACGUUCCUUCUCAAAACUGAAGCUGGUGAAAACCAAACUUCGCAGCCUUUGCAAAGAGGAGAGAUUGUCUGACCUUCUUCUGUCGGCCAUUGAGAAGGACAUUCCAAUAAAUGACAAUGAUGUCAUUAACAUUUUUAGGGACAUGUCCAACAGGAAACCUCUGUUAUAAGUGCCUACAACCACUCAUCCUCCACUUAUAGAUUUUUCAGUGCUGACCAUCUGCUGCACCCAGCAGAUCUGGAGUGAAGCUCCUUUAAGACAACAUCUCCAAGAUGCUAUUGACCACAAGACUAGUACAGAUUCACAGAUGAAUACAAAGUUCAAAAGACCUGAUCAACUCUGUCACUGACUAUGCCAUACAAUUUCAGACUCUAGCUGCGGCGUGCGGCUGGAAUGAAAGCACGCUUUCUCGAGGGGCUAGACUUUACCAUUGCCUACAAACUAGCUGCCAUAGAUCUUCCCUGAGAGCUGGAUAAUUUGAUUAAUCUUGCGCUCCGUGUGGAGGGCCGUCUCAACCGGCUAUUACGGCGAGUCCUCAGUCCUUUGAUGUUGAGCCCAUGGAACUGGGUCGUCUCCGGAUUACGCCACAGCAGAAGCAGGAGCGUCUAUCUCAAGGAUUGUGCCUAUAUUGUAGCAAGGCGGGCCACUUCGUCCUUCAGUGUCCGUUAAAAGCCAAGGCCCACCAGUGAUGCGGAGAGUCCUGGUGGGCACCUUUCCCUGUUCAAGCUCUCCAGCAGCACGCACUCAGCUGCCUUUUCAACUCUCCUUUCAGGGAGGUUCACACACUGGUCACGCCCUUCUGGAUUCGGGGCCUGAGGGGAAUUUCCUCAAUUCUGCCUCUGCACACAAAUGGAACAUUCCGACUAUUCCCCUGCCUAAACCCAUUGCGGCAUGGUCAUUAGGGGGCAGUCCCCUUACGACCAUCACUCAUGUAACACCUAGUGUGAGCCUUUACCUCUCUGGUAAUCAUUGUGAGCAGAUUGAACUGUUUAUUAUUGACUCCCCUAAGGCCCCGUUAAUAUUGGGACAUCCAUGGUUGCUGAAACACAACCCACAUAUUGACUUAAUCAGUAGUUCUGUUUUAACCUGGAAUCAGUCUUGUCACGUGUCAUGUUUGGGUGCUGCUUUUCCUGUGUCUUGUGUUUCAUAGGUGGAUUCCUCUGACCUGACUGGCGUCCUGGCGGAGUACUAUUAUCUUUGUGUGGUCUUCAGUAAAUCCCGGGUCACCUUGUUACCUCUGCAUCGUACGUUAUGAAAAUUUGAAUGACAUUAAAGGUAGGGGGUACCUGUUCUUUACCGUAAUGUCUUCUGCUUUUGAAUUGUUGCAGGGAGCUCGGGUUUUCACCAAAUUAGACCUUCACAACGCUUACCAUCUGGUGCGCAUUCGGGAGGGGGAUGAGUGGAAGAUGGCAUUUAACACCUGUUGUGAAUUUGACCCUUAUUUCAUUUUUCCUUUUCUUUUUCCCAUAUAUAUAUGUACUACAUAUCCCACAAUUCCAAGCAGACUACAAUACCCAUGCAAGUGCACUACAUUACCCAUACACCUCCUGGUCAAGGUCUAUAAAUAGACCUCACUUCCUUCCUUUGUUUCUCUUCCUUUGGUGAGGGUGUGGGUGUUUGAAUGGACACCCAACCAUGUCCUUUGAGUCCUUUCCUUAGGAUGCGUUAAUGACUUAAGACCAUCUUGUACAUCUUGUACACGUUGUCCAUCCAGUUCAUCCUGUCCAUCUAAUAACAUCUGUCCAUCUCCAUGCUAUGGGAAUUGUCUAUGAAUAAUCAUCUUGAACUUAAAAAUAAAAGAGAGCAAAGGACUGGUAUCUGUCCCGUGUUUUAAUCAGACACGCCAUCAAGUUUCUACACCUCUGAUGAACUUUGGAUAUAUUAACAUCUGAUAUCCUACAAAUGGUCCUUCGAGCCGGAAUGAAAAGGUCAUUACUAGGUCCAAGCAGGACCAAGGAGCUAUGGACUUGUUGGCCUCCAAGUCUAAAAUAGUUGAUGUGGAU